rnacentral:rRNA from 1 species
UUCCGUAGGGGAACCUGCGGAGGGAUCAUUACCGAGUUAUUACUCCAAACCCUUUGUGAACCUUACCUAUGUUCUGUUGUCUCGGCGGGGCGCCAGGCCUCUGGCCAAACCCCCGCCGGCAGCAUAAAACUCUUGCAUUUUAUAGCGGAUUACAUUUCUGAAUUAAACACAAAACAAAUCAAAACUUUCAACAACGGAUCUCUUGGUUCUGGCAUCGAUGAAGAACGCAGCGAAAUGCGAUAAGUAAUGUGAAUUGCAGAAUUCAGUGAAUCAUCGAAUCUUUGAACGCACAUUGCGCCCGGCAGUAAUCUGCCGGGCAUGCCUGUCCGAGCGUCAUUUCAACCCUCGAACCCCGGUUUUCUUUAUGGAUCCCGGGGAUCGGUGUUGGGGCACUACGGAGGUCUUCUGACCACCGUAGGCUUCGAAAUACAGUGGCGGUCCCGCCGCGGCGCCCUCUGCGUAGUAAUUUUCACCUCGCAUUGGGUCCCGGCGAAGGCCAGCCGUCAAACCCUCUAUUUUCUAUGGUUUGACCUCGGAUCAGGUAGGGUUACCCGCUGAACUUAAGCAUAUCAAUAGUCGGAGGAA